rnacentral:lncRNA from 1 species
AAACUCCACGUACUACCUAACUCGAUCGGCGUCUAUGUACUCGUCUUCUCCGAUCAAUCAUCAAUUUCUCCAUCCACGACGACCACCUGGUUGGUAUGCAUAGGGAAGCUAGGAUUGAUUUGAUCGAUCUCAAUAUUAAGUAGCUUCACCAGAUCGAAGACACGAAGAUAUCGGAAAGAGAAGUGGGUCCUGUCGGUCAGAUCUCGGGAUAAAACAUAGCUGGCCGGAACGUAUAAUAUGUUGGAAAUGAAGACAGUGAUCACUGAUCAGAUUUAAUCCAGCAGCAAAAAGACUAAUGAUGAUUUAUUUACGUACAGUACAGAUCCACUAAUUAAACUGAUUUAGGUUUGUUUGGUUUUUUAUUUUGGCAAUAUUUACAAGAUCGCCAAACAGAUUAUCAUGGAGUCUUGCUGGCUUCAACUGGGUCCGCGACAGUGUAUUCAUCUGACUGUAAUGGUUUAUAUGGGAAAGAUCAGCUUGAGUACUGGGAAAUGGAUAUCCAGAUCUCAUCAUGGUUUGUACCUGCAUACCUGCAAUCUUCCUACCGUCAUCAUCCAUUUCUAUAUGGUUUUUACUGCUUAAUUAGACUCAGACUUAUACAUACCUGCAGCUACAGGUUCUUUACCACUCUGCAUGGACUGAUGACAAGUCUGGAGGUUUGAUAGUUGGGGAUUUACUACGAUCAAUUGUGGUUCAAUUUCCUCUGUUGAUUGUAUUUCCCAAGGGGGGAGGGGUAAAGCUUCUUCAGUCUGUUCAAUAUUUAUGCCUGCAUAAUAUCAAGAAAAAUACCAACUAUGUAUUAAACAAUAAGAAGCAAUUUUUUGUUUUUUUUUGUUUUGCCACAGCUAAACCUACAAAUGGCUAAUAUAUCAUUUUACACGAACACUUUACAGACUUACGGCCAAACCUAAUAUAUGAUGGAGUAAGCAGUAACACCUCGAAAAUCACACUUUCUGGCAUGGAUUGGGUAUAUUUUAAUCUAACAAUUGAUUCUCUAUUAAAAUCUAUUAUAUUUUAAUGCAUGGACGUCAUGAUGUUGCGCAGUUAAAUAGGGACAUGAGUCAAUGAACUCUAUCUGUCACUUGUCAGGGACUCAGGACAUAUAUACUAUAAAAUUAUUGGCAAUAAUAAAUAGGUGGAUUGUGUAUUUAUCUAUUUCAAGGAGGAUAUGAAGAUUUCUGCCUUCUGUCCUGAUUGGUAAUUUCACUAAUUUGGUAUGUGGAAUAUGGUAUGCUGCCUGAUAACAAUAUUUUUACCAUUCAAAAAACAAUAUUGCGACAACAAGGAUAGCUUGAUAAAUGUAAGAUGAUAUUGUGCAUUUGUUCAUGUUUGAGAUUAUGAGGAAUGAAGGUUUAAUGGUUUAACAUGUGAACAGAUAAA